UACGGAGGGGGCUAGCGUUGUUCGGAAUUACUGGGCGUAAAGCGCACGUAGGCGGCUUUGUAAGUUAGAGGUGAAAGCCCGGAGCUCAACUCCGGAAUUGCCUUUAAGACUGCAUCGCUCGAAUCAUGGAGAGGUGAGUGGAAUUCCGAGUGUAGAGGUGAAAUUCGUAGAUAUUCGGAAGAACACCAGUGGCGAAGGCGACUCACUGGACAUGUAUUGACGCUGAGGUGCGAAAGCGUGGGGAGCAACAGG
rnacentral:rRNA from 1 species